GGUUGAGGGCGAUCUGGCUGCGACAUCUGUCACCCCAUUGAUCGCCAGGGUUGAUUCGGCUGAUCUGGCUGGCUAGGCGGGUGUCCCCUUCCUCCCUCACCGCUCCAUGUGCGUCCCUCCCGAAGCUGCGCGCUCGGUCGAAGAGGACGACCUUCCCCGAUAGAGGCGUACCGUUCUUCGGUCAAGGGUAUACGAGUAGCUGCGCUCCCCUGCUAGAACAAGCUCCCAAGGUCCAAAAAUAUGCAGUUUCAUAGAAACCAGAGUAAGAAUCUGCUUAUUCUUUAGGAUAGAUCAUUAUUGUUUCCUAUAUAGA
rnacentral:snRNA from 1 species